CAAUACCAUGAGUCAAAGUGGCGCACGGGUGAGUAACACGUGACUAACCUACCCUGGAGUGGGGGAUAACUGAGGGAAACCUUAGCUAAUACCGCAUAACACCUACGGGUCAAAGGAGCAAUUCGCUUUGGGAGGGGGUCGCGGCCGAUUAGUUAGUUGGCGGGGUAAUGGCCCACCAAGACGAUGAUCGGUAUCCGGCCUGAGAGGGCGCACGGACACACUGGAACUGAAACACGGUCCAGACUCCUACGGGAGGCAGCAGUGGGGAAUUUUGCGCAAUGGGGGAAACCCUGACGCAGCAACGCCGCGUGGAGGAUGAAGUACUUCGGUACGUAAACUCCUUUCGAUCGGGACGAUAAUGACGGUACCGAGAGAAGAAGCCCCGGCUAACUUCGUGCCAGCAGCCGCGGUAAUACGAGGGGGGCGA
rnacentral:rRNA from 1 species